rnacentral:rRNA from 1 species
AACUUUCAACAACGGAUCUCUUGGUUCUCGCAUCGAUGAAGAACGCAGCGAAAUGCGAUACGUAAUAUGAAUUGCAGAUAUUCGUGAAUCAUCGAAUCUUUGAACGCACAUUUUGCGCCCUCUGGUAUUCCGGAGGGCAUGCCUGUUUGAGCGUCGUUU